CUCUGGAAGGGUUUCUGAGAAGGGGGAGUGGCCCCAUCUCAUUAAGCUCAGUGAGAGGUGGCCCCGCAGGGAUCUUGAGCCCUUGAGAGCUGGGCUGGCCCUGGGAAGCCAAGCUAAUGUUCCUUGGCAGGAAGGGCAGCUGACCCCUCUGCCUCCUCCAGUGUCUGCAGCCUGGGCCUCAGAGCACAGAGAGACGUGCUGACCUGCAGAUGCUGCGGAGGAAGGAGCAAGAGGCAGGGUGCUGUGGGGAUGAGGGUGGGGAGUUGCUAGUGGGGCCCUGUGCCCUGCUCUGUGGCAGGCUUUCUUCCUCCUGGCCACGGCAGGCCUGCCUGUGCCUUUGUUCCUGGAUUCCUCUGUCUGUUGGUGUGUGAAAUUGCAGCCGCCUGGCAGCCCCGUUCCCAGAGGCUGCCUGGCACCUGCUCAGGUUCUUGCCCCCUCUUGCUGUCUUCCGCCUGUCUCCCUCCUUUCCUCACGUGGCUGCCACCUAACUCUUCUCUUCCCCAGCACAUUUCACAGGACAGUCCCAACUCCCUGGCGGCCUUAGGAACCUUGCUACCCUGUCCCACCUGGCCUUUAGCUGGCAGCUCCUAAAGCCCUCCCCUUGUCCUCUGGGGAUGCCCUAUAGAAUUCACAGCCAUUAUUGGGCUAUCCAACUCCUGCUGGGCGCUGCAUGCCUUUCAGCUGGGUGGGCUUCAGGAAGUGCCCCAGCUGGGCACCCAAGGGUUGGAGAUUCCAGGGCUGGGGGUGGGAGGCUGGGAAACAUUCUAUCCACAAAGAGCUAUGGGGACUCUUAAGUAGGCAGCUGUGUUGAAAAUGGACUGAAAGUGACAAAGCUGGAGCAGCUGGACCAAUCGGAAGGCUAUCAGGUGAGAUGUUAAGCAGCUAGCAAAAGUCACACAACUGAGAAGCUGCCAAGAGGGAAGCCCACAUGCUCAGGAAAUCCCAGGUUCCUGCAGCUCUCCAAGAGCCUGUAGGAGACUGUAACACACCUGCUCAGAAGGCAAAGGCAGCAGUCACAUUGACCAAGAGAGAACUGAAGGCUUUUCCAAAGCACUUAGAAGACACUAGAACUGGAAGGCGGAGCUUAGCAAAUGGCCUCAGUCCCUCAGAGAGGAGCGUGCAUGAGACCUCUCACCAGUGGCUGCGUCACUGCCAGGCUAUCUUCAUUGAAUGUGGGCUUGACAAAUAGUUGGUCUGGCAACUUUAUUUUCAACUAAACUUGUUGAGCUGCCCAGAUUUCUAAAGGGUUCCAUUAAGAUGGCUAAUCAUAUAGCAGUUGCUACAAAGAGAUAUUUGCACUCAAUUUCAGCUCUGAGGUAAUUCAGAUCAAAUGUUCUCUUUAUAUUUUUUCCUCCCCGGAGCUGCAUGCAGCCAUCUUCCUCUCACACUGCAGGCUUCCCAUGAGUUAUUUUUAGAAACCCAAAUCAAAACAGCAAUUUUGGUGGAGGCCAUUUGUAACCUAGCAGAGUAAACCAUAUGUCUGAUAAAAAAACAGCCAAAACCACCUCCCUGGUUGUGGGGUCAGAUGUCUGGGAACUGCGGACUGACCUUUAUACUAUCACAGUCAAAGGCACUGGCACCACCUUUAAAAUGACAAAGGGUUUGUGCCUUUGUACACCAUGACAGCUCUGGCAGCAUUUCCCAGAGCUCUGUUUUGGUCUCUGGGUCUCUGAUGGAAUAUCAGGUUCUGCUCUGCUUUCUGCUCUGAAGCAGCACACAUGAAUGUGCGUCCCUGUGCUUGCCCCACGGGUCACCCCCUGCCCUGUAAUCAGAUUGUAAGGUGGAGGAUAGAGCCUGUGGCAUGCCUGUAUAGUAGGUGCUCAGAUAUGUAGAUUAAAAUGCUAUUCACUGUCUCGUUUUUUAAAAAUGUGUCUUUUUUAUUACAUAGAUACUAAGUGAAUGUAUUUAUCUUAGAGCAAAAGUCUUUUCCAAAUAAGGCUGAAUGUCCUGUAAUUCACCAUCUCCAACCCUUGUCUCCUUGUUACAUAGUAUUUGUUCUGGAACAUAUCUUUGCACUGCUGCACAUGUAUGUGACACACACGAUCGCUACACCUGUGAUAAAUGGAAUAAUACAAAGCUUCUCUAUUAAGGGCUCCUGUCCACAUCAGCCACCUCUUCCCUUUGAACAGCUACAGUUUUAUCAUACUGAGCAAAUAUACCACCUUUGCUUUGAGCCAACUAAAUUCUUUUACCUACUUUCCCCAUUAGACCCAUAGGUCUGUUCUCAUGUGUAGGUUGACCAGUUAGCUAUGUACACUGCUAUCUAUGUGGCUACAUCAUGUACUGUUAAAAUCAGCCACCUGCCCAGGAGGUUAUGCCAAACCAGGAGACAAAAGUAUGCAAUAUAAGGGUUGCCAAUGAGACCAAAAUUCCUUUGCUCUGAACCUAGGAAAGGAUUGUGCCCUGGGAAUUCCCCAGUGGUGGAGAGGGGGUGCUCACAGCCAGGUGUUCCUGGGUGCAUCCUCUGUUCCCCUAGAUCUUAUCUUUCUCAUUUGCACAGUGGACUCAGGUAACCUUUUCAAGCCGUAAGCUAUGGAUAAUAGGUCUUUCCCGGUGCCACAAGAUUGCCCUGCAGACUGUACAGUUGGCUCUCUGCUGUCCAUGGGCUGGAAGUAGCAGUUCAUGACACACCCCAACCUAAAGCUCCUCCUGAAACCACUUCUCAAAGAACCUAGGAGACACUGCCUUGAACUGUACUCUUCUUUGCUAUUGUUUGUCAUUCCAUUAAAAUUAAUAUUAUAA